rnacentral:rRNA from 1 species
GUACACUCCUGCGGGAGGCAGCAGUGGGGAAUUUUGGACAAUGGGGGCAACCCUGAUCCAGCAAUGCCGCGUGAGUGAAGAAGGCCUUCGGGUUGUAAAGCUCUUUUGUCAGGGAAGAAACGGUGGUGGCGAAUAACUACUACUAAUGACGGUACCUGAAGAAUAAGCACCGGCUAACUACGUGCCAGCAGCCGCGGUAAUACGUAGGGUGCAAGCGUUAAUCGGAAUUACUGGGCGUAAAGCGUGCGCAGGCGGUUGUGUAAGUCAGAUGUGAAAUCCCCGGGCUCAACCUGGGAAUUGCAUUUGAGACUGCACGGCUAGAGUGUGUCAGAGGGGGGUAGAAUUCCACGUGUAGCAGUGAAAUGCGUAGAUAUGUGGAGGAAUACCGAUGGCGAAGGCAGCCCCCUGGGAUAACACUGACGCUCAUGCACGAAAGCGUGGGGAGCAAACAGGAUUAGAAACCCGAGUAGUCCCAUG